rnacentral:lncRNA from 1 species
GCCGCCCUGUCUGAGAAGUGAGGAGCCCCUCCGCCCGGCAGCCGCCCCGUCUGAGAAGUGAGGAGCCCCUCCGCCCGGCAGCCACCCUGUCUGGGAAGUGAGGAGCGUCUCCGCCCGGCAGCCACCCAGUCCGGGAGGGAGGUGGGGGGGUCAGCCCCCCGCCCGGCCAGCCGCCCCGUCCGGGAGGGAGGUGGGGGGGUCAGCCCCCCGCCCGGCCAGCCGCCCCAUCCAGGAGGUGAGGGGCGCCUCUGCCCGGCUGCCCCUACUGGGAAGUGAGGAGCCCCUCUGCCUGGCAACCACCCAGUCUGG